rnacentral:rRNA from 1 species
UACGUAGGGUCCGAGCGUUGUCCGGAAUUACUGGGCGUAAAGCGUGCGCAGGCGGUUCUAUAAGACAGAUGUGAAAUCCCCGGGCUCAACCUGGGAACUGCAUUUGUGACUGUAGAGCUGGAGUACGGUAGAGGGGGAUGGAAUUCCGCGUGUAGCAGUGAAAUGCGUAGAUAUGCGGAGGAACACCGAUGGCGAAGGCAAUCCCCUGGACCUGUACUGACGCUCAUGCACGAAAGCGUGGGGAGCAAACAGG